rnacentral:lncRNA from 1 species
AGAAAAGGGUAUCAUGUCAAUUCCAAAACGAGAGGUGCUAUAGUGUAAAUCCAAUUGAAACCAUAUUACUAUAGUGUAAUUCCAAAGAAAAGGGUAUCAUGUCAAUUACAAAAAGCAAACGCAAAACCCAAAUCCAAAUUCAAAAAAACGCAGAGAUCGAAGUAAAAGAGGGAGAAUGCUCACAUCUUAGGAAGAUUAGUGGAGAUCCCGGGCCAGAAGGUGUCAACCAAGUUGUUGAGGUUGGAGAGCGCGUAAAGCUUGAGCAAGAGAUGNGACAUCCCACCUGCGGAACUCACCAAAAUUGUUUAGGGAUUUAGGGAACGAACAGAUAAGAGAGUUUGAAUGGAGAACUUAUGGAUUGGGAACAAUAGGAAUAAAGAGGGAUUAGAUAGAUGAAACCUAGAUUAUGGGAGCGUAAAACAAAGAAAUAAGGUUAGAUACGUGAAAACCUAGGUUAGACACUACAGUAGUGAGCGGCGUCGCCGACAGUGACCUUGGCCAACUGGUAGAGGUGUGAUGAUGAUAAAGGACUUGACAAAAAUGGAGGUGAUACCAUAGUUAAUCUUGGAAAGGUGCAGAAGUGACUGCUCUAAGGUGGUUGUCGUUGUUUGCGAGAAGAGAGGUGAAGAAACCCUACGAAGGUAUGAGAACUAAAAGUGAGUGACUUUGCACAGAUGAGAAAAGGAAAAUAAAGUUUUACUU